GAUUAAGUUAUUAAGGGCGCACGGUGGAUGCCUUGGCACUAGAAGCCGAUGAAGGACGUUACUAACGACGAUAUGCUUUGGGGAGCUGUAAGUAAGCUUUGAUCCAGAGAUUUCCGAAUGGGGAAACCCAGCAUGAGUUAUGUCAUGUUAUCGAUAUGUGAAUACAUAGCAUAUCAGAAGGCACACCCGGAGAACUGAAACAUCUUAGUACCCGGAGGAAGAGAAAGAAAAUUCGAUUCCCUUAGUAGCGGCGAGCGAAACGGGAAGAGCCCAAACCAACAAGCUUGCUUGUUGGGGUUGUAGGACACUCUAUACGGAGUUACAAAGGACGACAUUAGACGAAUCAUCUGGAAAGAUGAAUCAAAGAAGGUAAUAAUCCUGUAGUCGAAAAUGUUGUCUCUCUUGAGUGGAUCCUGAGUACGACGGAGCACGUGAAAUUCCGUCGGAAUCUGGGAGGACCAUCUCCUAAGGCUAAAUACUCUCUAGUGACCGAUAGUGAACCAGUACCGUGAGGGAAAGGUGAAAAGCACCCCGGAAGGGGAGUGAAAUAGAACCUGAAACCGUGUGCUUACAAGUAGUCAGAGCCCGUUAAUGGGUGAUGGCGUGCCUUUUGUAGAAUGAACCGGCGAGUUACGAUUUGAUGCAAGGUUAAGCAGUAAAUGUGGAGCCGUAGCGAAAGCGAGUCUGAAUAGGGCGUUUAGUAUUUGGUCGUAGACCCGAAACCAGGUGAUCUACCCUUGGUCAGGUUGAAGUUCAGGUAACACUGAAUGGAGGACCGAACCGACUUACGUUGAAAAGUGAGCGGAUGAACUGAGGGUAGCGGAGAAAUUCCAAUCGAACCUGGAGAUAGCUGGUUCUCUCCGAAAUAGCUUUAGGGCUAGCCUCAAGUGAUGAUUAUUGGAGGUAGAGCACUGUUUGGACGAGGGGCCCCUCUCGGGUUACCGAAUUCAGACAAACUCCGAAUGCCAAUUAAUUUAACUUGGGAGUCAGAACAUGGGUGAUAAGGUCCGUGUUCGAAAGGGAAACAGCCCAGACCACCAGCUAAGGUCCCAAAAUAUAUGUUAAGUGGAAAAGGAUGUGGCGUUGCCCAGACAACUAGGAUGUUGGCUUAGAAGCAGCCAUCAUUUAAAGAGUGCGUAAUAGCUCACUAGUCGAGUGACACUGCGCCGA
rnacentral:rRNA from 1 species